UGGGGAAUAUUGGACAAUGGGGGAAACCCUGAUCCAGCGACGCCGCGUGUGUGAAGAAGGCCUGCGGGUUGUAAAGCACUUUUAGUGGGGAUGAAAAGUUCAGGGCUAAUACCUCUGGAUCUUGACCUAACCCACAGAAAAAGCACCGGCUAACUCUGUGCCAGCAGCCGCGGUAAUACAGAGGGUGCAAGCGUUAAUCGGAAUUACUGGGCGUAAAGCGUGCGUAGACGGGUUACAUAAGUCGGGUGUGAAAGCCCCGGGCUCAACCUGGGAAUUGCAUUCGAGACUGCGUAGCUAGGGUGCGGAAGAGGGAAGCGGAAUUUCCGGUGUAGCGGUGAAAUGCGUAGAUAUCGGAAGGAACACCAGUGGCGAAAGCGGCUUCCUGGUCCAGCACCGACGUUCAGGCACGAAAGCGUGGGGAGCAAACAGGAUUAGAUACCCUGGUAGUCCACGCCAUAAACGAUGAGAACUAGACGUUGAAGGGGUAAGCCCUCCAGUGUCGUAGCUAACGCGCUGAGUUCUCCGCCUGGGA
rnacentral:rRNA from 1 species